rnacentral:lncRNA from 1 species
GGUAUAUUUGUAACAAGGGUACAGCCCGAAGGACCAGCAUCAAAAUUACUACAGCCAGGAGAUAAAAUUAUUCAGGCUAAUGGCUACAGUUUUAUCAACAUUGAACAUGGACAAGCAGUGUCCUUGUUAAAAACUUUCCAUAAUGCAGUAGAACUCAUCAUUGUACGAGAAGUUUCUUCAUAAGCAGUAUAGACAAAAAAAAAAAAAAAAUGGGGACGAUAGCAAGAUUAUUGAAGACACAAGGGAAAUGACUAUUUUGCUUAUUUUUAUAUAUAAAGAAGAACAAAAACUGUUGGCUUGGAACUUGUACAUUACUGAAAUAAUGGAGCUUGUGCUUAGAGGGAAGAACCACUCACUGUACAGAAGAUGAAAGAGACUCUUGGAUUCAAAUCAUUUAAGAUUUGUUGUUAGGUUUUUAAACUUAGCAAAUCAAGGCUACAAAAACAAAGUUCUGUUGUUUUUGUAUAGAUUGUAGGUUUAUUUUUGGAUUUCAUACACAUGACUGACUGUAUGCAAGGCAAUAGUUAGCCUUGAUUGUAGCCCAGAGACAGAUUGCAGUGCUCUCUGUCUCCUAGCUUUUGUGUCCUAACUUUUAUCCAACUGGUAUUAAUGGUUUUUCUGCCGAACUACUUUUUCCUUGUGGUAAGAGAUUUGAAGUGUUGGCUUUUGCUAUGUGCAUACUGAAGAGUGAGUACAUGAAGUUGGUGCUGGUGGGUUCACUUUUCAAGGCCAGAUUAAAGCAUUAUUUCCUAUAAAAAUCUGAGGCAAAUGGUGAAAAAAAGUUAUCUGAUAAUGUAUUUUUAUUAAUAGAAUAAUGCAAUAAAAUACGUAAUGUCUUUUUAAAAGACAAUAAUUGCAUUUUAUGAGCUCUACAAGAUCGAUUCUUGUCAUAGCUAUUGACUAUACAUUUGCUACUGGUGAUUCAAUUUUUAAUUUUUUAGUUACUGAAGUUUUUAACUAUGUAGAUGCAUGUCCACGCAUUUCUCAUACUAUGAAGUUCUGAUACUUUUUUCUUUGAUAAAUGGUGGUACUUGCAACCUCAUUUUUAUAAUUAGCACUCCAUCAUAACCUAAUUUAUAAUUUUUGUUAUAAUAAGCAAAUGAAACUAAAAAGCCAGUUUUAAGUUUUGUGUCUCACCCAUAAUAUAAAAUAUCAGAAGGUUUCAGAAAGCCUCUUGGUUUUGUUGGCCUGGCGUUGCCUUGGUAAAGUGAGAGGAAACGUGAGUGUGCAUGGAGCUAGGAAACCAAAGCAAGUCGGUGAGACUGACACAGCGAUAGAGAAUUGCCGCGGAGAGCAGACGGAUGGUCCCGACUAGCUAAAGCACCACCUACAUUAUUUUUACAAAUGAGUCGGACUCAUUUCCAUUUCUAGUCAAAAUAGUCAGCACUUUUAAAAAUAUUUGAACUUCAAUAUUGCACUUCUUUCAAGCUGUUAUCAAUUGGGUAUUGUACUGUAUAGUUUUAAUAAUUUUGAUUGAAACCCUUUAACAACUCUUUGUAAAUUUUAACUCAUUUUUAGUUGAUUUUCAGUACUUUUACAUAGGAAUUGAUUUUUAUGAAUAUAGUAGAAGAAAUGUGCUGUAUUUUGAUAAAAUUCACUUGUAUGUGUUGUAAUCUCUUAAACAAAGAAUGACAAACAGCUUCUUUAAUACACGUCUCGGUGUUCCCUUUAUUCUUACUCUAUGUUGGCGUUGUAAGAAUGUCACAUUCUCCCUGUAUUGGCUUCACAUUUUCACAAUCACUUUUAAUUAGGAAUAAUUAAGAUACAUAAAGUCGCACAAUCUCAGUGACCUUUACUUGGAUCGUUGAUUAUAACUUUGCAGAAGGAGUUAGGCUUCACAGAAUCAGCUUCUCUGGUGAUCCACUGCUUAUUCCAUUGAAAUAACUGAGGGCAGCAGCUGUUGUGUGUACUAGCAUUCCGUUCCACUGUAGUUCAUUGUAGGGGCUGCAGUGUUCUUGAAGGUCAGGUAAGAAACUUUGUUGUCCAGGUUUGGAGUAACAUAGAAUAAAAAUAAAAAAAAAUUAAAUAGU